GAUGAACGCUGGCGGCGUGCCUAAUACAUGCCAGUCGAGCGAACAGACGAGGAGCUUGCUCCUCUGACGUUAGCGGCGGACGGGUGAGUAACACGUGGAUAACCUACCUAUAAGACUGGGAUAACUUCGGGAAACCGGAGCUAAUACCGGAUAAUAUAUUGAACCGCAUGGUUCAAUAGUGAAAGACGGUUUUGCUGUCACUUAUAGAUGGAUCCGCGCCGCAUUAGCUAGUUGGUAAGGUAACGGCUUACCAAGGCAACGAUGCGUAGCCGACCUGAGAGGGUGAUCGGCCACACUGGAACUGAGACACGGUCCAGACUCCUACGGGAGGAAGCAGUAGGGAAUCUUACGCAAUGGGCGAAAGCCUGACGGAGCAACGCCGCGUGAGUGAUGAAGGUCUUCGGAUCGUAAAGCUCUGUUAUUAGGGAAGAACAAAUGUGUAAGUAACUAUGCACGUCUUGACGGUACCUAAUCAGAAAGCCACGGCUAACUACGUG
rnacentral:rRNA from 1 species